rnacentral:rRNA from 1 species
AUUGAACGCCGGCGGCAGGCCUAACACAUCCAAGUCGAGCGAGCGGCGGACGGUUGAGUAAUGUCUGGGAAACUGCCUGAUGGAGGGGGAUAACUACUGGCAACGGUAGCUAAUACCGCAUACUUUCCGAUGUGCCUACAUGGGCUUAGCUAGUAGGCGGGGUAACGGCUCACCUCGGCCACGAUCCCUAGCUGGUCUGCGAGGAUGACCAGCAACACUGGAACGGAGAAACGGUCGAUAGGCCUACGCGAGGGGGCCAUGGGGAAUAUGGCACAAUGGGCGCAAGCCUGAUACAGCCAUGCCGCGUGUGUGAAGCAGGACUUCGGGUUGUAGAGCACUUUCAGCGGGGAGGGGUUACCCGCAGAAGAAGCACAGGCUGACUCCGUGCCAGCCGCCGCGGUAAUUC